ACUCUUCUAGUAUAUUCAUUACAAUUGACUUCCAAUCUUUAAAAUCUGGUUUAAGCCCAGAGAAGAGUA
rnacentral:tRNA from 1 species